rnacentral:misc_RNA from 1 species
UCUCCGUAGGUGAACCUGCGGAGGGAUCAUUACAAGUGACCCCGGUCUUACCACCGGGAUGUUCAUAACCCUUUGUUGUCCGACUCUGUUGCCUCCGAGGCGACCCUGCCUUCGGGCGGGGGCUCCGGGUGAACACUUCAAACUCUUGCGUAACUUUGCAGUCUGAGUAAACUUAAUUAAUAAAUUAAAACUUUUAACAACGGAUCUCUUGGUUCUG